rnacentral:rRNA from 1 species
UACGUAGGGUGCGAGCGUUAAUCGGAAUUACUGGGCGUAAAGCGUGCGCAGGCGGCGCGUUAAGACAGGUGUGAAAGCCCCGAGCUUAACUUGGGAAUUGCGCUUGUGACUGGCGUGCUGGAGUGUGGCAGAGGGAGGUGGAAUUCCACGUGUAGCAGUGAAAUGCGUAGAUAUCGGGAGGAACACCAGUGGCGAAGGCGACUACCUGGCCUGUUCUUGACGCUGAGGCGCGAAAGCUGGGGGAGCAAACGGG